AAUGAACGUUGGCGGCGUGGAUUAGGCAUGCAAGUCGAGCGAGAAACUUUGGAUGGAAGCUUCGGCCGAUAUCCAAGGUGGAAAGCGGCGCAAGGGAGAGUAACGCGUGGAAACGUACCCUCAGGUCUGGGAUAGCUGCGGGAAACUGCAGGUAAUACCGGAUAACGUCUUCGGACCAAAGGUGUGAUUCCGCCGGGGGAUGGGUCCGCGUCCUAUUAGCUUGUUGGUGAGGUAAUGGCUUACCAAGGCAAAGAUGGGUACCGGGUGUGAGAGCAUGGCCCGGCUCACUGGGACUGAGACACUGCCCAGACACCUACGGGUGGCUGCAGUCGAGAAUCUUCCGCAAUGGACGCAAGUCUGACGGAGCGACGCCGCGUGCGGGAUGAAGGCCUUCGGGUUGUAAACCGCUGUCAGUGGGGAGGAAAUGCAUGAGGGUUCUCUCUCAUGUUUGACCGAUCCGCAGAGGAAGCGCAGGCUAAGUUCGUG
rnacentral:rRNA from 1 species